rnacentral:rRNA from 1 species
UUAAGCGACUAAGCGUACACGGUGGAUGCCCUGGCAGUCAGAGGCGAUGAAGGACGUGCUAAUCUGCGAUAAGCGUCGGUAAGGUGAUAUGAACCGUUAUAACCGGCGAUUUCCGAAUGGGGAAACCCAGUGUGAUUCGUCACACUAUCAUUAACUGAAUCCAUAGGUUAAUGAGGCGAACCGGGGGAACUGAAACAUCUAAGUACCCCGAGGAAAAGAAAUCAACCGAGAUUCCCCCAGUAGCGGCGAGCGAACGGGGAGCAGCCCAGAGCCUGAAUCAGUGUGUGUGUUAGUGGAAGCGUCUGGAAAGGCGUGCGAUACAGGGUGACAGCCCCGUACACAAAAAUGCACAUAUUGUGAGCUCGAUGAGUAGGGCGGGACACGUGGUAUCCUGUCUGAAUAUGGGGGGACCAUCCUCCAAGGCUAAAUACUCCUGACUGACCGAUAGUGAACCAGUACCGUGAGGGAAAGGCGAAAAGAACCCCGGCGAGGGGAGUGAAAAAGAACCUGAAACCGUGUACGUACAAGCAGUGGGAGCACGCUUAGGCGUGUGACUGCGUACCUUUUGUAUAAUGGGUCAGCGACUUAUAUUCUGUAGCAAGGUUAACCGAAUAGGGGAGCCGAAGGGAAACCGAGUCUUAACUGGGCGUUAAGUUGCAGGGUAUAGACCCGAAACCCGGUGAUCUAGCCAUGGGCAGGUUGAAGGUUGGGUAACACUAACUGGAGGACCGAACCGACUAAUGUUGAAAAAUUAGCGGAUGACUUGUGGCUGGGGGUGAAAGGCCAAUCAAACCGGGAGAUAGCUGGUUCUCCCCGAAAGCUAUUUAGGUAGCGCCUCGUGAAUUCAUCUCCGGGGUAGAGCACUGUUUCGGCAAGGGGGUCAUCCCGACUUACCAACCCGAUGCAAACUGCGAAUACCGGAGAAUGUUAUCACGGGAGACACACGGCGGGUGCUAACGUCCGUCGUGAAGAGGGAAACAACCCAGACCGCCAGCUAAGGUCCCAAAGUCAUGGUUAAGUGGGAAACGAUGUGGGAAGGCCCAGACAGCCAGGAUGUUGGCUUAGAAGCAGCCAUCAUUUAAAGAAAGCGUAAUAGCUCACUGGUCGAGUCGGCCUGCGCGGAAGAUGUAACGGGGCUAAACCAUGCACCGAAGCUGCGGCAGCGACACUAUGUGUUGUUGGGUAGGGGAGCGUUCUGUAAGCCUGUGAAGGUGUACUGUGAGGUAUGCUGGAGGUAUCAGAAGUGCGAAUGCUGACAUAAGUAACGAUAAAGCGGGUGAAAAGCCCGCUCGCCGGAAGACCAAGGGUUCCUGUCCAACGUUAAUCGGGGCAGGGUGAGUCGACUCCUAAGGCGAGGCCGAAAGGCGUAGUCGAUGGGAAACAGGUUAAUAUUCCUGUACUUGGUGUUACUGCGAAGGGGGACGGAGAAGGCUAUGUUGGCCGGGCGACGGUUGUCCCGGUUUAAGCGUGUAGGCUGGUUUUCCAGGCAAAUCCGGAAAACUAAGGCUGAGGCGUGAUGACGAGGCACUACGGUGCUGAAGCAACAAAUGCCCUGCUUCCAGGAAAAGCCUCUAAGCAUCAGGUAACAUCAAAUCGUACCCCAAACCGACACAGGUGGUCAGGUAGAGAAUACCAAGGCGCUUGAGAGAACUCGGGUGAAGGAACUAGGCAAAAUGGUGCCGUAACUUCGGGAGAAGGCACGCUGAUAUGUAGGUGAAGUCCCUCGCGGAUGGAGCUGAAAUCAGUCGAAGAUACCAGCUGGCUGCAACUGUUUAUUAAAAACACAGCACUGUGCAAACACGAAAGUGGACGUAUACGGUGUGACGCCUGCCCGGUGCCGGAAGGUUAAUUGAUGGGGUCAGCGCAAGCGAAGCUCUUGAUCGAAGCCCCGGUAAACGGCGGCCGUAACUAUAACGGUCCUAAGGUAGCGAAAUUCCUUGUCGGGUAAGUUCCGACCUGCACGAAUGGCGUAAUGAUGGCCAGGCUGUCUCCACCCGAGACUCAGUGAAAUUGAACUCGCUGUGAAGAUGCAGUGUACCCGCGGCAAGACGGAAAGACCCCGUGAACCUUUACUAUAGCUUGACACUGAACAUUGAGCCUUGAUGUGUAGGAUAGGUGGGAGGCUUUGAAGUGUGGACGCCAGUCUGCAUGGAGCCGACCUUGAAAUACCACCCUUUAAUGUUUGAUGUUCUAACGUUGACCCGUAAUCCGGGUUGCGGACAGUGUCUGGUGGGUAGUUUGACUGGGGCGGUCUCCUCCUAAAGAGUAACGGAGGAGCACGAAGGUUGGCUAAUCCUGGUCGGACAUCAGGAGGUUAGUGCAAUGGCAUAAGCCAGCUUGACUGCGAGCGUGACGGCGCGAGCAGGUGCGAAAGCAGGUCAUAGUGAUCCGGUGGUUCUGAAUGGAAGGGCCAUCGCUCAACGGAUAAAAGGUACUCCGGGGAUAACAGGCUGAUACCGCCCAAGAGUUCAUAUCGACGGCGGUGUUUGGCACCUCGAUGUCGGCUCAUCACAUCCUGGGGCUGAAGUAGGUCCCAAGGGUAUGGCUGUUCGCCAUUUAAAGUGGUACGCGAGCUGGGUUUAGAACGUCGUGAGACAGUUCGGUCCCUAUCUGCCGUGGGCGCUGGAGAACUGAGGGGGCUGCUCCUAGUACGAGAGGACCGGAGUGGACGCAUCACUGGUGUUCGGGUUGUCAUGCCAAUGGCACUGCCCGGUAGCUAAAUGCGGAAGAGAUAAGUGCUGAAAGCAUCUAAGCACGAAACUUGCCCCGAGAUGAGUUCUCCCUGACUCCUUGAGAGUCCUGAAGGAACGUUGAAGACGACGACGUUGAUAGGCCGGGUGUGUAAGCGCAGCGAUGCGUUGAGCUAACCGGUACUAAUGAACCGUGAGGCUUAACCUU